UCGAUUCCCUUAGUAGCGGCGAGCGAAACGGGAAGAGCCCAAACCAACAAGCUUGCUUGUUGGGGUUGUAGGACACUCUAUACGGAGUUACAAAGGACGACAUUAGACGAAUCAUCUGGAAAGAUGAAUCAAAGAAGGUAAUAAUCCUGUAGUCGAAAAUGUUGUCUCUCUUGAGUGGAUCCUGAGUACGACGGAGCACGUGAAAUUCCGUCGGAAUCUGGGAGGACCAUCUCCUAAGGCUAAAUACUCUCUAGUGACCGAUAGUGAACCAGUACCGUGAGGGAAAGGUGAAAAGCACCCCGGAAGGGGAGUGAAAUAGAACCUGAAACCGUGUGCUUACAAGUAGUCAGAGCCCGUUAAUGGGUGAUGGCGUGCCUUUUGUAGAA
rnacentral:rRNA from 1 species